rnacentral:rRNA from 1 species
UGAGCAAUCUGCCCUUCUCAUCGGAAUAAGCGUUGGAAACGACGUCUAAUGCCGAAUACGACCUCCUUUCGCAUGAUCGGAGGUGGAGAGCUCCGGCGGAGAAGGAUGAGCUCGCGGCCUAUCAGCUAGUUGGUGUGGGCAAUGGCCCACAGGCGACGACGGGUAGCCGGCCUGAGGAGGGUGACCGGCCACACUGGGACUGAGAUACGGCCAGACUNACGGAG